rnacentral:rRNA from 1 species
GGAUGCGAUCAUACCAGCACUAAUGGCACGGAUCCCAUCAACUCGAAGUAAGUCGUCUUGGGCAGAGAGUAGUACUAGGAUGGUGACCCCCUGGAAGUCCUCGUGUUGCAUCCC